GGCCUAACACAUGCAAGUCGAACGAACGUAGCAAUACGUUAGUGGCGCACGGGUGAGUAACGCGUGGAUAUCUGCCUUUUGGUUCGGAAUAACCCCGGGAAACUGGGGCUAAUACCGGAUGGUUCCUUCGGGAUAAAGAUUUAUCGCCAAAAGAUGAGUCCGCGUACGAUUAGCUAGUUGGUGAGGUAAUGGCUCACCAAGGCGACGAUCGUUAGCUGGUCUGAGAGGACGAUCAGCCACACUGGGACUGAGACACGGCCCAGACUCCUACGGGAGGCAGCAGUGGGGAAUAUUGGACAAUGGGGGCAACCCUGAUCCAGCCAUGCCGCGUGAGUGAUGAAGGCCUUCGGGUUGUAAAGCUCUUUUGGCGGGGACGAUGAUGACGGUACCCGCAGAAUAAGCCCCGGCUAACUUCGUGCCAGCAGCCGCGGUAAGACGAAGGGGGCUAGC
rnacentral:rRNA from 1 species